UGAAGCUGUACAUAAACGCAUACCUCGAACUUGAGCUGAACAAAUCAAUUGAACUCUUUCUUCUCACAACCAACACAACUCUUUUUGAUGUUUCCAGAGAGAUUGAAGUUCUUGAGAAACUUUCAUUAGCUGUCUAAAUGAGGUCAUUGAGAGAAGAACUGCACUCUUUUCAAGGGAUGUGGGACAGAUUUUUU